UAGGGAAUAUUGGGCAAUGGAGGCAACUCUGACCCAGCCAUGCCGCGUGAAGGAUGAAGGUCCUCUGGAUUGUAAACUUCUUUUAUAAGGGAAGAAAACCCCCGAUUCACUCGGGGUCUGACGGUACCUUACGAAUAAGCACCGGCUAACUCCGUGCCAGCAGCCGCGGUAAUACGGAGGGUGCAAGCGUUAUCCGGAUUCACUGGGUUUAAAGGGAGCGUAGGCGGAUUGGUAAGUCAGUGGUGAAAGCCCCGGGCUCAACUUGGGAAUUGCCAUUGAUACUGCUGAUCUUGAGUAUGGUUGAAGUGGGCGGAAUGUUGCAUGUAGCGGUGAAAUGCUUAGAUAUGCAACAGAACACCGAUUGCGUAGGCAGCUCACUAAGCCAUAACUGACGCUGAGGCUCGAAAGCGUGGGGAUCAAACAG
rnacentral:rRNA from 1 species